CGGAAAUAUGCCCCAGAUGGGCAGGUCUCAUUGGGUUUGUCUCCCAUGUCUGCUGGUUCUAAGCUCACUCCGGGUUCGAAUUCGUCAACCCCCAGACGACGACGAGGGCGGCCACCCGGUUCUGGAAGGAAACAACAAUUAGCUCUCCUUGGUGAUUGGAUGAACAAUUCAGCUGGACUAGCCUUUGCUCCACAUGUUAUUCACGUUGGAGCUGGAGAAG
rnacentral:misc_RNA from 1 species